rnacentral:tRNA from 1 species
GGUGGCUCAGUGGUAGAGUGCUUGCCUUACAUGCUUGAAGCCUUGGGUUCGAUUCCUCAGCACCA